AAAAAAAAUAUUAUCUGGUAGUGAGAGGGAGAUAAUAAAAAUGAAAAGGGAAGGCAGGAAGAAGGAAACAAAUGAAAAAUGGAAUUAUUCCUCCCACCUAUUCCCUCUGCUUCCUUCUUAUGUUCUUUCUUGCCCAAUACUAAAGGCUAGAAAAACAGAGAAAUAGUAUGUCUAAACCCAAUUCUUUCUCCCAUCUUUGUUUUGAACAUUGCUCUCAUGUGUUUUCCAGGAUGUAGACAACUGUUAAAAUUCUUUGACCCUCCAGAAGACAUAAUAUUUUCAUUCUACUAGCAUCUAUAGCCACUAGGAGACUGAGGACCUCAAUUCAACUUUCACUGGGGACCAUAAUGCAGAGCCUUCUUACAAUGUCCUGAAAAUGGAAAGUGACUAUAAUCAGAUCUGGACCAGCCUCUUCCCAUCUCUCCUCCUUCCCUAUUUCCUGAGACGCAACAAUACUGAAAUUAGGUCCGUUGAUAACCCUACAAUGACCUCUGAGUGUUCAACUGAAAAGAAGAGUUGAUCAAUGAAGCAAAGUGCAUUAUGGGCUUCUUUUUUAGAAACUUCCACAGACAGCCCAGUCUUUGGUAAGUAUCAUUCUGAUCAGUCAGCAGCCAUCAACACAGAGGCAAGAACCUCCACCAAUAAAAAGAUGGCGACUUAUUGAAGGCUCA
rnacentral:lncRNA from 1 species